UUCAUUUGAAUCGGCGUGGGGUGGAUGGAAGCAGCCCGACGCAGCUCCCGCAUCCCGGCCCCCCUCCCCACCACGGCUCGUGGCGGCGCCCCUCCCUUGGCCAUGGCGGACAUCCCAGCGUGGCGACAUCGCCCUGCUCUGCUCGGGACAAGCCCUGCUCUGCUCGAGACAAGCCCCAUGGGCCGCCUCAUCAGCAGGCGGACACAGCGCGUCGCCGUUAGCUGGCCAGCCAUCCUGGUCGGGCGAUCCCCUUCCCGGGCGUGGCCGAUCGACAACCAGGCAUGGCGGCCCCCGGUAGUGGCGCAUCCCGCAUCCAGCAGGGACGACAUCCCAGCAGCACAUCACGACCAUGGAAGUCCAGCACAGAUGCAGUUUCGAGCACCAUCCCUCCACCUCUGCCUCCCCACGUCCCUCCUCCUCAAGAAUCUGGCGGCUGCCAUCGAGCUCGACGACAGCGGCGGCCUCAUGGUCUCUUGCCCCACGGGCAUGACAAAUCACGGAGGAGACAAGGUUCAGAUUUGGCGUCACCAGCAAUCAAGAUGUCAACGAGUGGUGGCAGGUCCCUCUCGAUCUGAUCCUGAGCUCCAUCCAGGCAUCGUCAUGGCCAAAUAUCCUCAUGGUGGCAACACUAGAAAGGAGCUUCCUGUACAUAACGAAGAGCUUCCAAUAUCCACUACCUAUACAUAGAAGCUCCCCAAGGUGAUGCUCCUCGGAUCUGAGCCUCCUCAAUCCUCUCUUUUUUUUCUGAUUUCAUAUGCAUACUGCGGGACCUAAGCAAAUCAAGGAGCUAAUGAAUGUGCAUUGCCUAAACACUGAACUAAAACCCAAUCUUCAGCAACUAGCAAGUCAGGAUUUGUAUGCCUUGCUAGUGCUCCACGAAAUGCCUAAAAGAAUCACCAAUGCGUGCAAGUAAUGUUUUCUAUGCAUUUGAUUUUGAUUUUUAUAUUUGAAAGUAAUAAAUUUUGAAAUGUGUUUUAAUGCCUUUUUCAUACGUACAAGGCGAUUCAGACCUGUAUGGGUUUUUAUGCGAGUUUUUAUACAUAUCAAACAUGACAAGUGAAUAGCUUUAAAAUUACCCAUCAUUUGUGAACUAUAUGAGACCAUGUUUUUUAUGCAAAUGUUUUCUAUGCAACCUUGCUUGUGUUUCCAUACUUUGUUGCGUAGGUGUCUUUUUUAAGUUGCAGACAAAAACAAUUCUUGUGUUUCCAUUUUUCUUGUUGUGAUUUUUGCAUUAAUGUCAUAGACAUUAAUUUUAUGAAUAGCUGAAUAGGUUUCUGCGUCUGCUAAAACAUGUUUCUAUGUCUUUCUUGUAGUCUGAGUGGAAGUAGACGACAUUAAGGUGCACGGUGAACAUGUUUCUCAUAAUCUAAUAUGGAUUUCAUUCGUUAUUUCUAUCCUUCUUGAGCUAAUUGUGUAAGCAAGCAACCAUUGGUUUUUGUUUGAACAAGAAUGGCUUAUUUCUCGUAAUAUAAUGUUUCACUGUUAGUUAUUCAUGCUUAAAACAACUGCUGGUAGCAUAGCCGACAUGCGGCAACAUACUUAAAAGAUGAUGUGUACAAAUAGCCUAUCUCUGCAUGCUCAGAGUUUUGAAGCAAGCAGUGCAUACCAGUUUUUACACAUACUAAUAUAAGGAUGUUUUAUGUGCGUUGUCAGAUGAUUCAGUGCUAAAAAAUACAUAGUUCAGCACAUAUUGAGAAUCUUUAUAGACUGGCUAUCUAUUUGCAUUUUUUAUGUGAUAAUCACCAGAUGACCAGACUGAAAUUAACAACAAAAAAAGGGCAAAAAAGGUAUUAUUUGUGCUUUCAAUUCUAGACCUUCUGAAACACCAGGCAUUAUAAAUCUCAGACACCAAGGUCAAAUUCAGUUUUAUACUGGAAGGCGAAACCAUACUGGAAGUUGAAACCAGACUUCUAUGCAUCCUAAAACAUGUUUACAUGCUAUUAAAAUAUGUAUCUUGUCUUUCUUACAAUUUUUUUGUGCAUGAUAAAACAUGAUUCUAUGCAGCUUUUGGUCGACAGCUCCUCCUCCGGUGAGCUUCACAGCAGGAGGCUCCGCGUGCGCAGCCUGUGUCACAGCAGGAAGCUCGGCGCACGCGUCCGGCUUCAUAGGAGGAGGUUCGGCGUGGGGCGGACGGAAGCAGACCGACGCAACUCCCUGACAUCUCACUGCUCCCUCCACUAUCUAUACAUACGAAGCUCUCUAAGGCCAAGGAGGCCAUCGCCGCGGUCCUCAAGGAUGUCCUCCUCGACGACGACGACGCUGAGGAUCAAUUCAACAACGGUAGCAAGGCAUUGCAUCUAGGAUGGUUGGAAGGAUUGCUCUACUUUGGUGUGAGGUCAAUGGUGGCUCGAACAUCAUAGGACAUGACUUGCGACGUUCACAACUUCCUUGGCUUGUGACGGUGGCGUAGUGUGAUAUUCGAUAUAGUUGAUGGGUUAAUGUAAAAAGUUAGUUUUCCAUAUGCUGUGUUUAUAUGCUUAGAUGAUAUGAGCGAAACUAUUGAUUUCUAUGUAACCUCUAUUGGGUUCCAAUAUUUGGUUAACUGAGUGUCUAUGCAUGUUGUGAGUUGGGAACAUUAUGGAUAGUCCACACUAGUAUGUAGUGUUUUGUAUGUUUCAUUCACUUAAAAGGAAGUAUGGUGUAAAGUUUCUAUA